CAGGGUGUAGCUCAACGGUAGAGCAUCCGAUUUUGGAUCGGAGGGUUGGGGGUUCGACUCCCCCCGCCAAUU
rnacentral:tRNA from 1 species